GCCAGUCUUCAUCAACUUUCUCGCAAAGAUACUCUCAGAACAUGAAAAUUUAGCAGGCUCCAAACAUUAGCAAUAAUGCCAUGGGACAGAGCACAAAAUGCUUGUUUUGCAGCCAUGCGCCGUGCAUCUAGUACUUUGGUAUCAUUAAGGAGUUCCAUAAUAGCUUCUUCAAGCUCUAAGGUACUAGAUACCUGAAUGAUUGAUAAGGGAUUUAAGCGUUGCAUUUCCUUUACCAUGUGUGAGAAAUGACCAACAUGAUGACCAGUCAAAACUGCACAGCCAGCGGCUGCGGCUUCUGAUAUAUUGUGGCCAGCUAAACCAGGGAAGAAGGAACCUCCAAUUACAGCUACUGGUGAUAACCUGUACAAACAUCUCAGUUCACCUAAUG
rnacentral:misc_RNA from 1 species